rnacentral:rRNA from 1 species
GACGAACGCUGGCGGCGUGCUUAACACAUGCAAGUCGAACGAAGUGGCGAACGGGUGAGUAAUACGUGGGUAACCUGCCCUCCGUUUUGGGAUAAGCCUUGGAAACGGGUUCUAAUACCGAAUAAAGGGGGAUGGGCUCGCGGCCUAUCGGCUUGUUGGGGGGGUGAUGGCCUACCAAGGCGGUGACGGGUAGCAGGCCGGAGAGCGUGACCGGGAACAUGGGGAGGGGGAUACUGCCCAGAGUCCUACGGGAGGCAGAAGUGGGGGAUAGUGCGCAAUGGGGGUAAGGCUGAUGCAGGGGUGUCGCGUGGGGGAUGAGGGCUUUCGGUUUUUAAAGCUGUUUCGAUAUCGAACGGGUAGGUGGAGAAGAAGCGCCGGCUAACUACGUGCCAGCAGCCGCGGUAAUUC